GGAGAGGUGGCUGAGUGGUCGAAGGCACCGCACUCGAAAUGCGGCGUAGGGGUAACUCUACCGUGGGUUCGAAUCCCACCCUCUCCG
rnacentral:tRNA from 1 species